AAUAUUGGACAAUGGGGGCAACCCUGAUCCAGCCAUGCCGCGUGUGUGAAGAAGGNCUNNGGAUUNUNAAGCACUUUAAGUUGNNNNNAAGGGGUUUGGAUUAAUACCCGGAAGCUUGGACGAUACCAACAGAACAAGCACCGGCAAACGCGUUGCCAGCACCCGCGGUAAUACAGAGGGUGCAAGCGUUAAUCGGAAUUACUGGGCAUAAAGCGCGCGUAGGUGGUUCAGUAAGAUGGGUGUAAAAUCCCCGGGCUUAACCUGGGAACUGCUUUCAUAACUGCUGAGCUAGAGUACGGUAGAGGGUAGUGGAAUUUCCUGUGUAGCGGUGAAAUGCGUAGAUAUAGGAAGGAACACCAGUGGCGAAGGCGACUACCUGGACUGAUACUGACACUGAGGUGCGAAAGCGUGGGGAGCAAAC
rnacentral:rRNA from 1 species